rnacentral:rRNA from 1 species
CCUACGGGAGGCUGCAGUGAGGAAUAUUGGUCAAUGGUCGGGAGACUGAACCAGCCAAGCCGCGUGAGGGAGGAAGGUACAGAGUAUCGUAAACCUCUUUUGUCAGGGAACAAAGACUGGGACGCGUCCCCGGAUGAGUGUACCUGAAGAAAAAGCAUCGGCAAACUCCGUGCCAGCAGCCGCGGUAAUACGGAGGAUGCGGGCGUUAUCCGGAUUUAUUGGGUUUAAGGGGUGCGCAGGCGGUCUGUUAAGUCAGCGGUCAAAGCCCGGGGUUAACCCCCGGCCCGCCGUUGAAACUGGCAGUCUCGAGUUGGAGAGAGGUAUGCGGAAUGCGCGGUGUAGCGGUGAAAUGCAUAGAUAUCGCGCAGAACUCCGAUUGCGAAGGCAGCAUGCCGGCUCCACACUGACGCUGAGGCACGAAAGCGUGGGUAUCGAACAGGAUUAGAUACCCGGGUAGUC